UGCCAGAGAAAUUGGAACAAGAUGGGGGAU
rnacentral:piRNA from 1 species